GACGAACGCUGGCGGCAGGCCUAACACAUGCAAGUCGAGCGAGCGGCGGACGGGUGAGUAAUGUAUGGGGACUGCCCGAUGGAGGGGGAUAACUACUGGAAACGGUGGCUAAUACCGCAUACUAUCGGAUAACCCAUAUGGGAUUAGCUUGUAGGUGGGGUAAAGGCUCACCUAGGCGACGAUCUCUAGCUGGUCUGAGAGGAUGAUCGUCCACACGGGUACUGAGACACGGCCCAGACUCCUACGGAGGCAGCAGUGGGGAAUAGUGCACAAUGGGCGCAAGCCUGAUGCAGCCAUGCCGCGUGUAUGAAGAAGGCCUUAGGGUUGUAAAGUACUUUCAGUGGGGAGGCGUUACCAGCAGAAGAAGCACCGGCUAACUCCGUGCCAGCAGCCGCGGUAAUUC
rnacentral:rRNA from 1 species